rnacentral:misc_RNA from 1 species
CCUGAACCUUUUGUAAUGUAAUUACAAAUGAUGGUAAAUGGAGCUAUUCCUUUCUCAUUAUUCCUGUGAUACAUGGACAAAAUCCAAUUUCCAUUUCACGUGCCGGUGACUUCUCAAGCAUUAUAAACUCUGUAGAUCUGUUACAAGCUGAUAAAUGCGAGGAAUUUCCACUUGCUGAUCAAGCAGGAUGUAAUCUACAAUCAUGCUGAUAAUGACACAGCCUCUAUGGCACUGCCCAGUGGCCAUGCAGCUUCAACAAGGGA